AUGAAUUGUUAUCAGGAACAUAUCUUUAACGAACAUGCCUUCCACUAACCCUCACCUUUUUUCAUUUAUCUACUAUCGUGACCACAUGUUGUGCAACAUUGCAACAAAAUCAGAAGACAAUAUUGAGAUAUGUUAGAAAUAUUAUUGAAUAAAAUCAAAGCUGUUAGGAUGGAUUUCAAUUAGACAAUUUUUGAACAACUACUAGUAUAUAUAUCAUUAGUAAAUUAAUAUAAAUAGUAGAAACAAUAAUGUAUAUAUUUAUUCAGAUUCAUGAAUAUCGAAAUAUGUAUAAAGUAUUAACACAAAAAUGUGCAAGUAAAAUUCACUGAAAAUAUGAAAUGAAAUAUUAGUUUCUAAGAUGGGAACUAGCUUGCUUUUAAUGUGAGAGCACCAAAGAGAUAAUAAAAUUCUAUGCUCCAGGAUGGCCCCUUUUUGUUUAAAGAGGUGAGCAAUGAAGUGGUUUCAGAUCUUCAAUUUUUAUUCCUUUGUUUGAUUUUCUCUCAGUGGUAAGUCGAAGUUUUUUUUUUUAUCCUUGAUAGUGUAUUUUAUUAUUACUGGUGCAGUAAAACUUAUAAUCGAUCAGCGUAAACGCGACUAUAACGGA